UUGUUUUUUUUUUUUCUUCAGCUCACUCUCUUUUUCACUUCAAGUGUUCCUCAAGAGAUUCAUGUAUAUUGUCCAUAGUUGUAGGACGAUAUUCUUUACGACGUAUAAAUCUGACGCCAUCAGUUUUCAUAGAUGGAUCAGUCAUAGUAUACUUUUCAGUCCCAGUAUCACUACUUGUGACAUGCAUAGGCCCAACAUCAUCAGGAUCGUCAUCAUAAGAAAAAGGCUCUUUGUCCACUCUACUAAGUUCAUUUGAUCGUUGUGGGGAAUCAAGCGCAGUACUAUAAACCACGUGUUUUCCUGUGGCAAAUGACUUUUCAAAUAUCUCUUGCAACAACUCAAAGUGUUCAAGCCCCUUAUAUAUGAACUUGCUUAACUUUAUAUUUUUUUCUUUCUUUUUUUGUACAAUAUUGAAAAGAAAAUAUUAGUUCAAUGUACAUAAAUAGAAUAUACAUAAUUUAACUCAUCUAGCUAUCUUAUCGAUACAUGCACCGGUCAAAUGUCAAAUGGACAAGUAACUGUGUUACUAAUAGGAUUCUAAUCAUAUCCAAAGCAAUUUAGAAGUAACUCCUUGAAAUUUUUCGUGUCUACCCUUAAUCUGUUAUGUUUGAACUUGAUUUGUUGUUCAUCAUAAAUGUCUUUCUUUUUGGAUUUGCUUCAAAACUGAUCUAUAAUUCUCCUCCAACGUGAAACAUUAAUGGUAGAACCAUUAAAUCUAUAAUUCCUUGCAUCAUCAUGUACGAUAUGAAUCAGAAUAAAUGUAUCAUCAUCUGUACAUUUGUAGGGGUUUGAACCACGUGAUUUGCUCAUUUUUUUCGUUGCGAUUGUAUAACGACAACAAAAUAAUCAGACACAUAAAAAUCUUCAUUUUCGAACAACAUAUAACUAAAAACAUGGCUUAUAUAAGUUGAAGAUCAUAGAACAAGUUAAGAUUUAUAUGUUACUCUAUUAACCAAUGAAGGUGCUGCCACAGAGUUUUCGUUUGAUAUUCCAAAAUCAGAUUCAAGUUUUAUUUGCAUUACAGAACUUUAAAAAAUAAUCUUAACAUCAUCAGUUGUAACAAGCCGAUAGAAGUUGACAUAAUAUUUUUUUUUAAAAAUCGUACAAAAAAUAAUUUCACAAUUGAACAAAAAAUUGAAAAUAUCAACACAUAAUUGAAAAGCAACUAAAAAUUAUCGACACAUAGCUAAACACAGAAAAAUCUCGGUCUAGGAAUAACAAAUCUAAAAUAUGAUGACAAAUAAAGCAUAAAAGAUUACCGUCAAAUAUGUUGCGCAAGCUGUUGGUGUUGAGCGGCAAGAAUGACCGAUUGAAAGUUCCUUUAAAUUUUGAGGAAAGAAGAAAAAAUUGAAGUUGAGGUUAGUUUUCAAUUUUGGAGAUUUUUAUAGUCAAAAG
rnacentral:lncRNA from 1 species